UACGGAGGGUGCAAGCGUUGUUCGGAAUCACUGGGCGUAAAGAGCGUGUAGGCGGCGAGGUAAGUCGGAUGUGAAAGCCCCGGGCUCAACUCGGGAAUUGCAUCCGAAACUUCCUUGCUAGAGUCCCGGAGAGGAAGGCAGAAUUCCCAAUGUAGGGGUGAAAUCCGUAGAUAUUGGGAGGAAUACCGGUGGCGAAGGCGGCCUUCUGGACGGUGACUGACGCUGAGACGCGAAAGCGUGGGGAGCAAACAGG
rnacentral:rRNA from 1 species